rnacentral:rRNA from 1 species
UACGGAGGGGGCUAGCGUUGUUCGGAAUUACUGGGCGUAAAGCGCACGUAGGCGGCUUUGUAAGUUAGAGGUGAAAGCCCGGGGCUCAACUCCGGAAUUGCCUUUAAGACUGCAUCGCUAGAAUUGUGGAGAGGUAAGUGGAAUUCCGAGUGUAGAGGUGAAAUUCGUAGAUAUUCGGAAAGAACACCAGUGGCGAAGGCGACUUACUGGACACAUAUUGACGCUGAGGUGCGAAAAGCGUGGGGAGCAAACAGG